rnacentral:rRNA from 1 species
GUGGGGAAUAUUGGACAAUGGGCGAAAGCCUGAUCCAGCCAUGCCGCGUGUGUGAAGAAGGUCUUCGGAUUGUAAAGCACUUUAAGUUGGGAGGAAGGGCAGUAAGUUAAUACCUUGCUGUUUUGACGUUACCGACAGAAUAAGCACCGGCUAACUUCGUGCCAGCAGCCGCGGUAAUACGAAGGGUGAAAGCGUUAAUCGGAAUUACUGGGCGUAAAGCGCGCGUAGGUGGUUUUGUAAGUUGGAGGUGAAAUCCCCGGGCUCAACCUGGGAACUGCCUCCAAAACUGCAUGACUAGAGUACGGUAGAGGGUAGUGGAAUUUCCUGUGUAGCGGUGAAAUGCGUAGAUAUAGGAAGGAACACCAGUGGCGAAGGCGACUACCUGGACUGAUACUGACACUGAGGUGCGAAAGCGUGGGGAGCAAACAGGAUUAGAAACCCUAGUAGUCC